rnacentral:tRNA from 1 species
GCGGUUGUGGCGAAGUGGUUAACGCCGUGGCUUGUGGCGCCGCUAUACGUGGGUUCGAUUCCCAUCAACCGCCCCA